GCCGAGGGCAMGUUUGCCUGGGCGUCA
rnacentral:rRNA from 1 species